rnacentral:rRNA from 1 species
UGAUUCCCCUAGUAGUGGCGAGCGAACGGGGAACAGCCCAAACCGUCGCUGUCGCAAGGCAGCGUCGGGGUAGUAGGACCACGACCUUGUAUCAUGAUCGCGAGCAGAAGGUCCCUGGAAAGGACCGCCGCAGACGGUGAGAGCCCGGUAUGCGAAGCGUGAUUGGGCAUAGUGGUAUCCUGAGUAGCGCGGGACACGAGGAAUCCUGCGUGAAUCCGCCGGGACCAUCCGGUAAGGCUAAAUACUCCCGUGAGACCGAUAGUGAACGAGUACCGUGAGGGAAAGGUGAAAAGCACCCCUAGCAGGGGAGUGAAACAGUCCCUGAAACCAUGCGCCUACAAGCGGUCGGAGCUGCUUUUGCAGUGACGGCGUGCCUUUUGCAUAAUGAGCCUACGAGUUGCCAUGUCCGGCAAGGCUAAGGGCGAGUACGCCCGCAGCCGCAGUGAAAGCGAGCCUGAACAGGGCGCCGAGUCGGAUGGGGCAGACGCGAAACCAAGUGAUCUACGCAUGGCCAGGCUGAAGUCCCGGUAACACGGGAUGGAGGGCCGCACGGAUAAGCGUUGAAAAGCUUCCCGAUGAGCUGUGCGUAGGAGUGAAAGGCCAAUCAAACUUGGAGAUAGCUCGUACUCCCCGAAAGGCAUUUAGGUGCCGCGUCGGAUGUUCACCGCGAGAGGUAGAGCGACCGAUAGGACGAGAGGGCUUCACCGCCUAUCGAGUCCUGACGAACUCCGAAUGCUCGCGGUCCGCAGUCCGGCAGUAAGGGGGCGGGUGCUAAGGUCCGUCCCCGAGAGGAGAAGAAUCCUGACCGUCGUCUAAGGUCCCGAAAUUCUGUCUAAGUUAGUCUAACGAGGUCUGGUCUCAGUGACAGCUAGGAUGUUGGCUUGGAAGCAGCCAUUCAUUCAAAGAGGGCGUAACAGCUCACUAGUCGAGAGACCGGGCAUGGAUAAUAAUCGGGUAUUAAGUCAGAUACCGAAGGCACGGGGUAGCAGAGUAAUGAAAAGUACCGGUAGGGGAGCAUUCCACCUCCGUCGAAUGGUUUCCGUGAGGAUUCCUGGAGGGCGUGGAAAAGCAAAUGUAGGCAUAAGUAACGACUAGGGGCGUGAGAACCGCCCCCGCCGCAAGUCUAAGGUUUCCCGGGCGAUGCCAGUCAGCCCGGGGUCAGUCGGGUCCUAAGGCUCAGCCGAACGGCGAGGCCGAUGGCAGACACGGUUAAUAUUCCGUGACCCUCUGCUGGAGCGACGUGGAGACGGAGCAGUGACACCACCGCGCCCUGACGGAAUAGGGCGUUGAAGGCCGUAGGUGCUGACGGAGGCAGGCAAAUCCACCUCCAGAGCUGAAAGCCGACAGUACGCUUCCUCCUUCGGGAGGCGGCGACAGCGUGGGUAACCAUACUUCCUAGAAAAUCCGCUAAGCAUAUCCAUUGGAGGCCCGUACCGCAAUCCGACACAGGUAGACGGGUAGAACAUACUGAGGCGUUGGGAGAUUCAUGGCUAAGGAACUAGGCAAACUGACCCCGUAACUUCGGGAUAAGGGGUCCUCACGGCAACGUGAGGCGCAGAGAAUAGGCCCAGGCAACUGUUUAACAAAAACACAGGGCUGUGCAAACUCGAAAGAUGAUGUAUACAGUCUGACACCUGCCCGGUGCCGGAAGGUUAAGAGGAGGAGUCAGCCCCUUGUGGGUGAAGCCCCGAGUUGAAGCCCCGGUAAACGGCGGCCGUAACUAUAACGGUCCUAAGGUAGCGAAAUUCCUUGUCGGGUAAGUUCCGACCUGCACGAAUGGUGUAAUGAUCCGGGCGCUGUCUCGGCCAUGAUCCCAGUGAAAUUGUAGUAUCGGUGAAGAUGCCGAUUACCCGCGAUGGGACGAAAAGACCCCGUGAACCUUUACUACAGCUUAGCGCUGACCUUGGUCAUCCGAUGUGUAGGAUAGGCCGGAGGCUUCGAAGCGGGGACGCCAGUCUUCGUGGAGCCGCCCUUGAAAUACGGCCCUUUGGCUGUCCGAGGUCUAACGCGCUUUUUGCGCGGACACCGCUUGGCGGGUAGUUUGACUGGGGUGGUCGCCUCCAAAAGUGUAACGGAGGCUUCCAAAGGUGCCCUCAGGCCGAUUGGUAACCGGCCUCUAGAGUGCAAUGGCAUAAGGGCGCUUGACUGGGAGGGAGACAUCCCGAGCAGGCAGGAAACUGGGGCAUAGUGAUCCGGCGGACGCGUAUGGAAGCUCCGUCGCUCAAAGGAUAAAAGGUACUCCGGGGAUAACAGG